rnacentral:sRNA from 1 species
GCGCUAGAGGUCCACAGAGCCCUAAGGAAACAAGAACUACAUCGGCUUUUGAAAACAGAUAUCAAUGCUGCUACAUGCCUUCACUAUAUGCUACCAUGUAUCAGCUCUUGUCGGACUACUUUGACCAGCUUGAUGAGCUCUUCAAUACACUCACUGAUGACCAAGACAAACCAACGAGGCCGGACACAUUCAUCAAAGUAACAAGGAUCUCAAUGCCGGCCACGUCAAAAGGACAUUGUGUACGGUCCCAGAGAGAGAAAAGCUUGGAUUCAGCUGACCGAACAAAUGGCGGAAAUAGCCAACAAGAUCAAACGUAAUAAGAGUGUCAACUGGUCAC